CAAAAAUUGAAAAAAAAAAAAAAAAAAAAAAUAAAAUAAUUGUUUUUUUUUU
rnacentral:ribozyme from 1 species